rnacentral:misc_RNA from 1 species
GCACAACUGCAGAGCCUCAAUGUCGUUGAGUUCAUUCGAGGAUACGCAUAGAGAAAAAAGAAUGAGGGAUACUGAGUCAGAAACCACGGUCAAUUCUCAAGAAUGUAUGCUAUCUAAACUCUCUAGAUCUUUGGAUCAGGACUGUUCUUUGCAGAACUAUGUGCUGGCUUGUAUGUUGUUAGCUGAUAAUGGAAUGCUAUUAAAAGAGAUGGAUAUUUUUAAGCAAGACCUGUACAGUAUCCCUUCUCUGAGUCUUACAAUACUGGAGAAGAAAAAGGCUACACUGAUGGCACAAUGUGGCAAUGAUUACAAAAGUCAAAGAUCAAACGAUUGCCUUAUUCCCGGCCUUAAUGAUGAUAUUGCACUAGAUUGUCUGGUCUGGGCAAGCCGAUCUGACUAUUCU